rnacentral:rRNA from 1 species
CCUACGGGAGGCAGCAGUGGGGAAUUUUGGACAAUGGGCGCAAGCCUGAUCCAGCCAUGCCGCGUGCGGGAAGAAGGCCUUCGGGUUGUAAACCGCUUUUGUCAGGGAAGAAAAGGUUCUGGUUAAUACCUGGGACUCAUGACGGUACCUGAAGAAUAAGCACCGGCUAACUACGUGUCAGCAGCCGCGGUAAUACGUAGGGUGCAAGCGUUAAUCGGAAUUACUGGGCGUAAAGCGUGCGCAGGCGGUUAUGCAAGACAGAUGUGAAAUCCCCGGGCUCAACCUGGGAACUGCAUUUGUGACUGCAUGGCUAGAGUACGGUAGAGGGGGAUGGAAUUCCGCGUGUAGCAGUGAAAUGCGUAGAUAUGCGGAGGAACACCGAUGGCGAAGGCAAUCCCCUGGACCUGUACUGACGCUCAUGCACGAAAGCGUGGGGAGCAAACAGGAUUAGAUACCCUGGUAGUCCACGCCCUAAACGAUGUCAACUGGUUNUUGGGAGGGUUUCUUCUCAGUACGAAGCUAACGCGUGAGUUGACCGCCUGGGGNGNGCGCGAGUGAGANANAGAGUGAGNGNGAGAGNGCGAGCGACGACGAGGGAGGAGG